rnacentral:rRNA from 1 species
UGAGGAAUAUUGGUCAAUGGACGGAAGUCUGAACCAGCCAAGUAGCGUGCAGGAAGACGGCCUAUGGGUUGUAAACUGCUUUUAUGUGGGAAUAAAGUGAGGGACGUGUCCCUUUUUGUAGGUACCACAUGAAUAAGGACCGGCUAAUUCCGUGCCAGCAGCCGCGGUAAUACGGAAGGUCCGGGCGUUAUCCGGAUUUAUUGGGGUUUAAAGGGAGCGUAGGCCGUCUUUUAAGCGUGUUGUGAAAUACUGUCGCUCAACGACAGAGGUGCAGCGCGAACUGGGAGACUUGAGUGCGCGGAAUGCAGGCGGAAUUCGUCGUGUAGCGGUGAA